rnacentral:rRNA from 1 species
AGUCGACGGGAUCCAUCAAGCUUGCUUGGUGGUGAGAGUGGCGAACGGGUGAGUAAUGCGUGACCGACCUGCCCCAUGCUCCGGAAUAGCUCCUGGAAACGGGUGGUAAUGCCGGAUGUUCCACAUGAUCGCAUGUGAUUGUGGGAAAGAUUCUAUCGGCGUGGGAUGGGGUCGCGUCCUAUCAGCUUGUUGGUGAGGUAACGGCUCACCAAGGCUUCGACGGGUAGCCGGCCUGAGAGGGCGACCGGCCACAUUGGGACUGAGAUACGGCCCAGACUCCUACGGGAGGCAGCAGUGGGGAAUAUUGCACAAUGGGCGCAAGCCUGAUGCAGCGACGCCGCGUGAGGGAUGGAGGCCUUCGGGUUGUAAACCUCUUUUGUUUGGGAGCAAGCCUUCGGGUGAGUGUACCUUUCGAAUAAGCGCCGGCUAACUACGUGCCAGCAGCCGCGGUAAUACGUAGGGCGCAAGCGUUAUCCGGAUUUAUUGGGCGUAAAGGGCUCGUAGGCGGCUCGUCGCGUCCGGUGUGAAAGUCCAUCGCUUAACGGUGGAUCUGCGCCGGGUACGGGCGGGCUGGAGUGCGGUAGGGGAGACUGGAAUUCCCGGUGUAACGGUGGAAUGUGUAGAUAUCGGGAAGAACACCGAUGGCGAAGGCAUGUCUCUGGGCCGUCACUGACGCUGAGGAGCGAAAGCGUGGGGAGCGAACAGGAUUAGAUACCCUGGUAGUC